UUCCGGUUGAUCCUGCCGGAGGCGACCGCUUUGGGAGUUCGAUUAAGCCAUGCGAGUCGUGAGUCUUAGGGACUCGGCAUACUGCUCAGUAACACGUGGAUAACCUGCCCUAUCGUCUGGAAUAACCUCGGGAAACUGAGAAUAAGGCCGGAUAGUUCACAAUGCCUGGAACGGUUUGUGAAUCAAGGUAGGAUGGGUCUGCGGCGUAUCAGGUUGUAGGGGGUGUAAAGGACCCCCUAGCCUUCGACGCGUACGGGUGUUGGGAGACAUAGCCCGGAGAUGGAUUCUGAGACACGAAUCCAGACCCUACGGGGUGCAGCAGGCGCGAAAACUUCACACUGCAGGAAACUGUGAUGAGGGAACUCCUAGUGCAUGCACUAUGUGUAUGUAAAUCCUACUCUUAACAAGUAGAGGGAAAGGGCUGGGAAAGACCGGUGCCAGCCGCCGCGGUAAUACCGGCAGCUCAAGUGGUCGUCGCUUUUAUUGGGCCUAAAACGUCCGUAGCCUGUUUGGUAAAUCUGUGGGUAAAUCAAUCCGCUCAACGGAUUGAAUUCUGCAGAGACUGCCAGACUAGGGACCGGGAGAGGUGUGGGGUACUCGAGGGGUAGGGGUAAAAUCCUGUCAUCCUUCGAGGACCACCAGUUGCGAAGGCGCCACACUGGAACGGAUCCGACGGUCAGGGACGAAGCCUAGGGGCACGAACCGGAUUAGAUACCCGGGUAGUCCUAGGUGUAAACGCUGUGAACUUGGUGUCGGGGGUCCGCAAGGGGUCCCCGGUGCCGGAGUGAAGAUGUUAAGUUCACUGCCUGGGGAGUACGGUCGCAGGGCUGAAACUUAAAGGAAUUGGCGGGGCAGCAC
rnacentral:rRNA from 1 species